UACGUAGGUGGCAAGCGUUGUCCGGAUUUACUGGGCGUAAAGAGCGCGCAGGCGGUUGGAUAAGUCGAAUGUGAAAGCCCCCGGCUCAACUGGGGAGGGUCAUUCGAUACUGUCCGACUCGAAGGCAGGAGAGGGAAGCGGAAUUCCCGGUGUAGUGGUGAAAUGCGUAGAUAUCGGGAGGAACACCAGUGGCGAAGGCGGAUCUCUGGGCCGAUACUGACGCUGAGGAGCGAAAGCGUGGGGAGCGAACAGG
rnacentral:rRNA from 1 species